AGAGUUUGAUCAUGGCUCAGAAUGAACGCUGGCGGCGUGCUUAACACAUGCAAGUCGAACGAGAAACCCCGGCUUGCCGGGGGAGUAAAGUGGCGCACGGGUGAGUAACGCGUGGGUAAUCUACCCUCGAAUUGGGGAUAACCCGCCGAAAGGCGGGCUAAUACCGAAUAAGACCACGGUGGUUUCGGCCACUGAGGUCAAAGAUGGCCUCUGCUUGCAAGCUGUCGUUUGAGGAUGAGCCCGCGUCCCAUUAGCUAGUUGGUGGGGUAAAAGCCUACCAAGGCGACGAUGGGUAGCUGGUCUGAGAGGAUGGCCAGCCACACUGGAACUGACACACGGUCCAGACUCCUACGGGAGGCAGCAGUGAGGAAUUUUGCGCAAUGGGGGAAACCCUGACGCAGCAACGCCGCGUGAGUGAUGAAGGCCUUCGGGUUGUAAAGCUCUGUCGAGUGGGAAGAAUUUUUUUCGGCUGAAUAAUCCGAAAAAUUGACGGUACCGCUGAAGGAAGCACCGGCUAACUCCGUGCCAGCAGCCACGGUAAUACGGAGGGUGCAAGCGUUAUUCGGAUUUAUUGGGCGUAAAGGGCGUGUAGGCGGUUUGAAUAGUCAGGUGUGAAAGCCCUUGGCUU
rnacentral:rRNA from 1 species